GGAGAAUUACUCAAGAGGACUGAAGAGGACGGUUUGCUAAAUCGUUAGGUGGGUAACCGGCGCGGGGGUUCGAAUCCCCAUUUCCG
rnacentral:tRNA from 1 species